GUAGGUGGCAAGCGUUGUCCGGAAUUAUUGGGCGUAAAGCGCGCGCAGGCGGUCCUUUAAGUCUGAUGUGAAAGCCCACGGCUCAACCGUGGAGGGUCAUUGGAAACUGGGGGACUUGAGUACAGAAGAGGAAAGCGGAAUUCCAAGUGUAGCGGUGAAAUGCGUAGAGAUUUGGAGGAACACCAGUGGCGAAGGCGGCUUUCUGGUCUGGAACUGACGCUGAGGCGCGAAAGCGUGGGGAGCAAACAGGAUUAGAUACCCUGGUAGUCCACGCCGUAAACGAUGAGUGCUAAGUGUUAGGGGGUUUCCGCCCCUUAGUGCUGCGGCUAACGCAUUAAGCACUCCGCCUGGGGAGUACGGCCGCAAAGGCUG
rnacentral:rRNA from 1 species